rnacentral:rRNA from 1 species
AGCGAACGCUGGCGGCAGGCCUAACACAUGCAAGUCGAGCGGCCGUAGCAAUACGGCAGCGGCAGACGGGAGAGUAACACGUGGGAACGCGCCCUUCGGUUCGGGAUAACUCAGGGAAACUUGGGCUAAUACCGGAUACGCCCUUACGGGGAAAGAUUUAUUGCCGAAGGAACGGCCCGCGUCCGCUUAGCUAGUUGGUGAGGUAACGGCUCACCAAGGCGACGAUCGGUAGCUGGUCUGAGAGGAUGACCAGCCUCACUGGGACUGAGACACGGCCCAGACUCCGACGGGAGGCAGCAGUGGGGAAUAUUGGACAAUGGGCGCAAGCCUGAUCCAGCCAUGCCGCGUGGGUGAUGAAGGCCCUAGGGUUGUAAAGCCCUUUCAGCGGGGAAGAUAAUGACGGUACCCGCAGAAGAAGCCCCGGCUAACUUCGUGCCAGCCGCCGCGGUAA